UUAAUAGGUUUUGUCAAACAUCUGGUUUCUCCUUUAGCUGCUUAAUUUCUGAAUCAAUUUGUUCACGGUCUUUUAGUUCAGAGGUGGCAGCAAUUGAAUCAGACAAUCUCAGCAGGCAAGUGCUUGUUGCACUGUCGACGCUCCUUCCGUGGAUGUACUUUGUACAAGGCCAGCUCCAGAAUUUCCUGACCAAGUGCUGACUGAAGUCUGCAGCGUAUUCUUUAGCACGGGUCUGCUUGUCUGAGGAACGCAACGAGAUGCAUUGGAAACCUCAAAAACAAAGAGUAACCGUUCAGAGACUGGAGAAGCUGGAUGGCAGAAGGGUGAAGUUAAUGAGCUAGUUUUAGUUCAGUGAUGAUGCUGUCUCCUGCCUUGUGCUGUGCUGUUAGCUGACCUUUUAUCAAAACGGGCAUCAGACAGCGCUUGCUGCACUCUGAGCACUUCCUCCAUGAGAAAACAGGCUCAGAAAGUGUGCGGCUGCGGUAGAGAAGAGGAGGCACCCUUUUGGCAGCAGAAAAAGGCCCCUCCUGUCCCAGAGCCAGAAGGGCUCUGCAUUUGUUUGCUUUUGCUGCUGUGAUCACCACAACAUGUGUCAUGAAACAUCAGAAAAGUCUUAUCUUACCUGCUGGACAUCAGAAUCCGACCUGGGUCUCACUGAGCUAAGUCCAGGA